UCGAAGCAACUUGCCUCUGGCUCUCUCUCUCUCUCUCUCUCUCCGAGAGCCUAAACUAAAAUGCUAAAUCCCCUCCUCUCGGAACGGACGGACACCGUAAUUCCCAUCCCCAUGCCCAUCGUCUGACGCCCGUUGAGUGGCAGUCUGUUCCUCGGCGAGCAAGAGAGAUGCCGCGGAGGGUGGCCCCCGAUUCCUAUUCGGCCGCCGGCGGCGACGCGGAGCGGCAGGACCUCCACCAGCUCUCCUCGGCGAUCUGCAACGGCGAGGACCUGGGCCCCUUCGUCCGCAAGGCGUUCGCCUCCGGCCGGCCGGAGUCCCUCCUCCACUCCCUUCGCCACUUCGCCCGCUCCAAAGAAUCCGAGAUCGAGGAGGUCUGCAAGGCCCACUACCAGGACUUCAUCCGCGCCGUCGACGACCUCCGCUCCCUCCUCUCCGACGUGGACUCCCUCAAAUCCGCCCUCUCCGACUCCAACGCCGCCCUCCAGUCCGCCGCCGGCCCCCUCCUGUCCUCCCUCGAUGCUUAUUUAGAAGCGCGCGCCGUCGCUCGCAACCUCUCCGCCGCCCUCGCCGCCACCCGCCUCUGCGUUCGCGUCCUCGAGCUCCUCGCCCGCGCCAACGCCCACCUCGCCGCCGACGACCUCUACCUCGCUCUCCGCCCCGUCGACGCCGUCGAGCGCGACUUCCUCGACGCCGCCCCCCACCCCACCAUACGCCGCAUGCUCCUCCACCUCAUCCCCGCCAUCCGCUCCCACGCCGAGCGCAAGAUCGCCAAGGAGUUCUCCGAUUGGAUGGUCCAGAUCCGCGUCGCCAGCCGCCACCUCGGCCAGGUCGCCAUCGGCCGCGCCUCCGCCGCCCGCCAGCGCGAGGAGGAGCUCCGCAUCAGGCAGCGCCAGGCCGAGGAGCAGUCCCGCCUCUCUCUCCGCGACGCCAACUCCUCAUCCAUCUAUUCCCUCGAAGAAGACGACGACUCCGACGACCUUGCCGCCGCCAUCGCCGCCGCAAGCGGCAGCGGCGCUGCUGUCGACGGCAUUUUAGGUUUCGAUCUCACCCCGCUCUACCGCGCCUACCACAUCCACCAGACCCUCGGCCUUCAAGAUCGAUUCAAGCAGUACUACUUCGAGAACCGCAAGCUCCAGCUCACCUCUGACUUCCAAGUCUCCUCCAUGACCCCAUUUCUCGAAUCACACCAGACCUUCUUCGCCCAGAUCGCUGGAUUCUUCAUCGUCGAGGACCGGAUCCUGCGAACUGGCGGCGGAUUGAUCUCCCGGUCCGAUGUCGACGCUCUCUGGGAGACUGCAAUCGCCAAGAUGGUCUCUGUCCUCGAGGAUCAGUUCUCCCGGAUGCAGACCGCCAACCACUUGCUCUUGAUCAAGGAUUAUGUGAGCCUCCUCGGCGUUACUCUCCGGCGAUAUGGCUACACCGUCGAUCCGCUCCUUGACGUUCUGUCGACGCACCGGGACAAGUACCAUGACCUCCUACUAUCCGACUGCCGCCGCCAGGUGUCCGAGGCCCUCGCGGCCGACAAAUUCGAGCAGAUGCUCAUGAAGAAGGAGUAUGAGUACUCGAUGAACGUUCUGUCAUUCCAGAUUCAGACCUCCGACAUCACCCCUGCAUUCCCUUAUGUCGCUCCAUUCUCAUCCACUGUCCCUGACCUCUGUCGAAUCGUCCGGUCGUUCAUCGAGGACUCGGUCAGUUUCAUGUCACAUGGUGGCCAGCUUGAUUUCUACCCUAUUGUCAAGAAGUAUCUCGACCGCCUUCUUGGGGAGGUUGUCGAUGGUGCCAUCCUGCGCCUUGUUGAGGCUGGAGGCCUCGGUGUGUCCCAGGCCAUGCAGGUAGCUGCCAACAUGGCUGUGAUGGAGCGGGCCUGUGACUUCUUCUUCCGCCAUGCUGCACAGCUCUCUGGCAUCCCCCUCCGCAUUGCCGAGAGGGGGAGGAGGGAGUUCCCAUUGAAAAGGUCUCGGGAUGCGGCCGAGGAGCUUUUGCUGCGCUUGCUCCAGGCCAAGCUUGAUGAUUUUAUGAUCUUGACAGACACUGUGAGUUGGAUGGCUGACGACCCGCCACCAAACGGGAAUGAGUAUGCAAAUGAGGUAAUUAUAUACCUUGAGACAUUGGUCUCCACUGCACAGCAGAUACUGCCCAUCCAAGUCCUCCGGCGGGUGCUUCAUGGGGUCCUCACCCAUGUAUCUGAAAAGAUUGUGGGGCUUUUCCUUAGUGAUUCGGUCAAGAGGUUUAAUGCAAAUGCUGUGACAGGGAUAGAUGCUGACUUGAGGCUCUUUGAAUCAUUUGCUGAUAACCAAUCCCAUUUGUUUGGAGAUACUGAGGACCUGGGUGCAAAUGAACUGAAAAUGGCUUUGGUGGAAGCAAGGCAAUUGGUUAAUUUGCUCAUGAGCAACCACCCAGAGAAUUUCCUGAACCCAGUGAUCCGGGAGAAGAGUUACAAUAAGCUGGACUACAAGAAGGUAGCCACAAUAUCUGAGAAGUUCAGAGAUUCAUCAGAUAGGCUGUUCUCCACAUUUGGUACAAGGGGUUCGAAACAGAAUCCAAAGAAGAAAUCAUUGGAUGCCUUGAUAAAGAGGCUCAAGGAUGUGAGCUGAAGCAGCUGCUUCAAUAUAGUAAGGAGCAUCUCUUUCGCCUUAUUAUGUUGAUCCUUUCAGUGAGCCAAAACAGAUUCUGAGCCCUUGUUUGAACCGUCCUCAAAAACUAAUCAAAAGCAAAAACCUGAUGAGGGGAGAUGGUUAUCUUGGUGGAAGAAGAGGAGCUUGGUGGUGGAGGGAAGGUUGAAAAAAGCAGUCUAGGCGAACACGAGCACACAAGCUCGUGAUGCAUUUUAAGAAGCAGAGUUUAAUGAUUUGAAGGGAGAGAGUUGUAGUACAAUUUUUACAGAUCAGUAUAGAUGGUUUUCAAUCCCAUAAAGUAACUUUAAAACUUAGUGCAAAUUUUUCUUUCAAAAGCUAUUCAUACUCAUAAUUAUUGUAGGGUAGCAUUUUUCUUGCAAAUCAUAUAGUUUUCCAUCUGAAGACAAAUGUGAUAGGCCCGAAGACACCAACUCAUGCCCUUUAACAUAGCAUGAAUCAUUAUACAGUUAAGUAGUCAUGGUUAUGUUGUAACAUUUUAGGGAGCUGAUAUAUGGCUAAUUGUCUAAAAAUUUCUUAUAUAUGAUUAUAUUUAUGUAUCUUA